UACGGAGGGUGCAAGCGUUGUUCGGAAUUAUUGGGCGUAAAGGGCAGGUAGGUGGUCUUAAAAGUCUACUGUGAAAGCCCCGGGCUUAACUUGGGAAUUGCGCUCGAAACUACUUUGCUGGAGUGUGGCAGAGGAAGGUGGAAUUCCACGUGUAGCGGUGAAAUGCGUAGAGAUGUGGAGGAACACCAAUGGCGAAGGCAGCCUUCUGGGCCAACACUGACGCUCAUGCACGAAAGCGUGGGGAGCAAACAGG
rnacentral:rRNA from 1 species